rnacentral:rRNA from 1 species
GAUGAACGCUGGCGGCGUGCCUAAUACAUGCAAGUCGAGCGAACAGACGAGGAGCUUGCUCCUUUGAUGUUAGCGGCGGACGGGUGAGUAACACGUAGGUAACCUACCUAUAAGACUGGGAUAACUUCGGGAAACCGGAGCUAAUACCGGAUAAUAUUUCGAACCGCAUGGUUCGAUAGUGAAAGAUGGCUUUGCUAUCACUUAUAGAUGGACCUGCGCCGUAUUAGCUAGUUGGUAAGGUAACGGCUUACCAAGGCAACGAUACGUAGCCGACCUGAGAGGGUGAUCGGCCACACUGGAACUGAGACACGGUCCAGACUCCUACGGGAGGCAGCAGUAGGGAAUCUUCCGCAAUGGGCGAAGGCCUGACGGAGCAACGCCGCGUGAGUGAUGAAGGUCUUCGGAUCGUAAAACUCUGUUAUUAGGGAAGAACAAACGUGUAAGUAACUGUGCACGUCUUGACGGUACCUAAUCAGAAAGCCACGGCUAACUACGUGCCAGCAGCCGCGGUAAUACGUAGGUGGCAAGCGUUAUCCGGAAUUAUUGGGCGUAAAGCGCGCGUAGGCGGUUUUUUAAGUCUGAUGUGAAAGCCCACGGCUCAACCGUGGAGGGUCAUUGGAAACUGGAAAACUUGAGUGCAGAAGAGGAAAGUGGAAUUCCAUGUGUAGCGGUGAAAUGCGCAGAGAUAUGGAGGAACACCAGUGGCGAAGGCGACUUUCUGGUCUGUAACUGACGCUGAUGUGCGAAAGCGUGGGGAUCAAACAGG